rnacentral:rRNA from 1 species
ACGGUACCGUCAUGGUCCCAGGGUAUUAUCCCGAGACUUUUCGUUCCGUACAAAAGCAGUUUACAACCCGAAGGCCUUCAUCCUGCACGCGGCAUUGCUGGAUCAGGCUUUCGCCCAUUGUCCAAAAUUCCCC